UUGAAAGGGAAACGAUUGAAGUCAGUCGUACCGACGAGAAUCAACCUUUGGAGUGCGAGUCGAGGUAUUCGAGGAGUUUAAAAGCCCUUGUGUGCUUCCGUAUCGUGCUUCUUGGGUGCUUUUCUUCGUAUGGUAGGUUAACAUCAAUUUUGGACGUUACAAAAUGACUGGGGGAAUGUAGCUUCGAUUUUUCGAAGUGUUAUAGCCCUUUGUAGAUGUGACGACCGGGAUUGAGGAUUGCAACGAAUGCUUUCGGGCUAUCCGUCUGACCUCUGGUGGUUGCUUUGGGGUCGAAAGCGUGCUUACGGCUUUAAAGUUGGCUAUCAAAAGGCUAGAACGUGAUUAAAUUCGUUAAGGAUGUUGACGUA
rnacentral:rRNA from 1 species